rnacentral:lncRNA from 1 species
AUGUGUUUUUUUCUUUUGAGAAGGAGUCUCAAUCUGUCACCCAGGUUGGAAUGGAGUGACAUGAACUCAGCUCACUGCAACCUCUGCCUCACGGGUUCAAGCAAUUUUCCUGCUUCAGCCUCCCAAGUAGCUGAGACUACAGGGUCACCUUCCUACUCCUUCCACUGUCUUCACAGCAUUCUAAAACUGAUCAUUCUGCCUCCCUCUUUAUCUUUUAAAGGGACAUGGAUGAACCUGGAAACCAUCAUUCUCAGCAAACUGACACAAGAACAGAAAAUCAAACACAGCAUGUUCUCACUCAUAGAUGGGUGUUGAACAAUGAGAACACAUGAACACAGUGAGAAAACAUAAUGAUUUACACAAGUAACAAAGAAGUUUCCAGAUGGUGUUUCAUAUGGAUGUUCAGAUGAAGAAACUAAAACUUUUAUAUUUCAUGAAUAUUAAUGAGAUAAAGAAAUAAAUAUAAUUAUAGUUUUUUUGACAUCAAUAAUUGGGUCAAUUUGUAGAAAAUCGAUUUUCUCUGUGUUUUUUUUUUUGUACUAAGCAAAAUAUUAUACCUGUGUUAUUUAACAUUUAUGUAUCUACCAAGAUCUACUUUUCUAGGUCUUAGUGGUCUUAAGGAUAAUAAAUAAUAUUAUAUUCUGCUUUGUAUUUUCUCUUAUAUUAAAUCCACACAUUUAGUUGAGCAAAAUGGUAAAACACCUUUAAAACCUCCAUAGUUCUAAAGCAUUUGGGAAAAAUCCAAUACAAUCAUUCUUAAGUACUUGUAGUAUUGGAAAUAACUACAAAAUACAUAUUAAAUGUAUCAGUUAAAUACAUAUUAAAUAUAAACAUAAAAUAUACAUGUAUAAAUUUAAAUAUAUACAACUGUCCAAGAUUAUACAGCAGUUCUCUCUUGAUUAAUGUCGAAUUUUCAGAUAUUCUGGGCUAUACUAAUAAGGAGUUGAGCAAAAUAUUAAGCAAAGCCAUAAUAGUCUUGCAUAGAAUUCAAUAGGAAAAAGCUCACUGAGAAAUAAAAGAUUCAUAAGUUUGACUUGGGCAUACGUAUGUAUUUAAAAAAUAAAUUGAAAAUUAAGCCCCAUGAACUCCAGAGAUAGAAUAGAAAAUUUGUACCUCCAAGUGGCCAAGCUUUAUUGUUCUAUGAUGUCUAGUUCUAGUCCUUGCAGAUACUUUCAAUUAUUAGGCCACCAGUUGCAGACUUUGAUCCAUUCCAGCCUAUGAAUAUUUUUUUUGUUUUGUCAGAGUGAAUUUCAUUCAGUAGUUCUAUACCUUGCUAUUAAAUUCACAAAACUAAUUGAAAUUUUUCAUCAUUAAAUGAUAUGGUAACCCUAUGGCCACCUUUUUGCAUUUUUGUUAAGUUUUAGUAAACAAACCAACUUCUUAUUUUCUAGUAUCUUACCCUAAUUGGCAAACUGUUGCUCUCUUCAUGCAAUCUUCCUUUGUAUAAAUGAGUCAUCACCUGAUGUCCAGUUAAGCUGCUUCCCACCCUUGAAUCACUACAAUUCUCUCAUGCUGAGAACCUACUGCUUUAGAUAUCUGAUUGUACCUGGCUUUAGAGUUCCAAAAUGCUCUAUCUGUUGUGAUUCCCUACUCUUUCCUAAUAAGUAAAGUUUUACUAUUGGCUUUCUCUGAAUCGUGAUCAUAUAUUCUGCAGCUCUUCCUUAAUUUUCCUAAUCUCUACCCAACAAAACCCUUGUUCUAAGUCUAUUAGAUGGGAAGAAGAAAGGAGAAGAAGUUUUCACUUUUCCCUUGUUUAGGGUCGUUUUUUCCCACUUAAAACAGAAGAAACCAUAUUUCCACUUAUUUGUGAGUAAACACAAAAGAGACAAAGAAUAAGCUCUGGCUCUUCAAUUUCCACUCUUUCAGAUGUAAUGUGACUAUAUUCCAAAUCUGAGUCACAUCUAAUUAAUUUCUGCUAUCCUCUUUUCACUCACAAAAGUGUUCCAAUUUGAGAGAGAAAAUAUAUAACCUUAACCAGAGGUGUGGAAGUAAGAUAAUGAAAAGAAAAAAUAAUUUCUGAGGCUAUAAUUAGAAAAGAAGCAGAUUAAAAUGAAUGUAAACAUCAUAAGAAGUGUGCUUGGAAGUGGCUAACCAUAGAAAAUUCCUAGUAUGUACUUAUAGUUCUCCCAGUUUCCUUGAAAUGAGACAAAGUCCAAAGAAGAUCAAAUUAUGGUAACAAAAUAUAGUUAUCCAAGGAAAUAAAGACUAAGAGAAGGAAGACAAAAGAAUAUGAUCUUGAAUAUUAUGAGAAUAGAGAUGCAACUAAUGAGGAAAAGGAAGUAAAAAUAAAGAAACUGUUUGCAGAAAAGGAUUGUCUUUUAGAAAUUGGAGAAAUUAUUCAAAAUGCAAUUAAAGGACAGAAAAGUAAAACCUAGGAAGGACAUUGAAAGAGUUGAAGGGAUUUUAUUAGCAAAGGAAAUUUUAGUGGGAAAAUAAUAUAUUUAAGAUAAUUCUACAACAAUAAGAUGAUACUCAAUUUGAGCUUUUAAUUUUUAUAUUAAGGUAAUACUGCAUUUUAGUUUAAAUAUCUCACCAAUAAAAUGCAUUUAAAUUUUAUUUUUAAUAGUAAUUUUUACGUAUAAACAUGUUUAUUUUUCUACAGGUUUAUUAGAAAUAUGACCAAAGGCAAGAAAUUUUUUAAAAAUGUGCAGUAUCAGCUUAAAGAGAUACAUUGAAUUGUCAGUGUUUCAGAGGACAAAAAACAAUCUCUGCAACAAAACAGGCCAAAAGAAAACAACAACAUUUAAUAAUUAAGUCAGAGACUUUCAGGAAAAUCCACAUUUUAUUUAGGAGAAAAACAUAUAUUAAGAGAGUAAGGCUACUAAAAAGGGAAGAAGAAAAUUUAGGAUUAUUGAAAAAUGUUUGCAUAGAGGGAAGAGGGUGGGUGGGAGAAACUUCUGACAAUUAAAAUAUUUACUUUGAUAGACUUAAUGAUAAUGUAAUCAGAAGGGAAUAAAGUAAUUAUGGAACAAAAAUUAAGAAUGUAAUAUGACUUUUAUAUAGCUUUAUAAUAAAUUUGUUUUUAAAAUUUUUAAAUAAAAAUAUACUUCUCAUAUAUACAUGUACAUGUAAAAAACAAAAUGUGAAACAAUUUAUUCUGUGAAAACUCUAAAAAUUAUGUGGUGGCAGAUCAAUGGUAUCAAAUUUAUCACAUCAUCAUCUAAAUAUAUCCUCUAAGAAAGAAACUCUAAAUCAUGGUUUUAUUGAAUUUGAGUUCAUAGAUAUAUCUCAUGGUGUCUUACAGUAAUUACUGAAUUUGUGAAGAUACUAAAAGAGCUUAUGUCAUUUAUUUUCUGAUUAAAUUUACAGAAAAUCAAUUCAAGAUAGUUUAUAAUUAUGCAGACUGCUAAUGCUAAAUGGAUACAUAGAAAAACAAUUCAAUAAAAGAAUGAGACAUGAUUUGUGUAAUUACAGUGGCCCAUUGAACAUUUAAAGUUUAAAAUGAUUAUCAAGAGUGGGCAAAUUCACGAGUCCACAAGAUUGGUGUACUAUAGAAGUACAGAAAGGAAUAGGCUUCAUAAAGACAGUGUUCCAUAAUGGAUGUUCUCUAAUGGAUGCUAUUUACCUAAUAUACCAGCAUGACUUUGUACUACCUGUCAAAUCUCUAUUUUUGAUUGUGAAGCAUCAUUAUUGUUACUAGAAUAAGAACCCACCCAGGAAAAUUUAUAUAAGUGGCUAUAGGAAUAGAAGUAAAAUCUUAACCAAAAUAACUAAAAUUCAAUGCAGAAAAUAUAUAUUUAUUAGCAUCUAACUUCUGUUUUCUCAUGGAUUUAUCAACCAUCCGGUUGAUGCUUUAUAGUUAGAACAAAUUACUUAAUAAAAAGCCUGUCAAGAAGGGAGUCACUUCUGCUUUUUGUUUGGUCUGAAAGUUCUAUGUGGCUAUUUCUGCAUGUUCACUGCCUGUCUCUUAUUUUAUAUUUAAAAAUAUUCCAUUUUAGGGUCUAGAAGCAGAUUUUAGAGGCAAUGAGAAAUGAGAAAACAAAAGGAAGCCGCCUUUUAUCUCUGUCCCCUUUCACUCUGUCCAGUCCCACCCAUGGCAUGCACCCUAAUAUAUGCCAGAGAAAAAGUGUUAAAGUAUAGGCUUCUGAAAUAACUGAGGUCCUCAGUUUACCUUGGUGAAAAUAAUUCUACAGGCUCAGGAGAUAAGAGAUGUUAUAUGCUCUCUAAAACAUUUUUUAGUAGUAAAAUGUAGAAUGAGAGAAGUAAAAUAAUUCCAUAUGACAAUCCACUUUCCAAGUUAUAGUCUUUAAGAUGGUGUCUGAAUUAAUAGUAUCUUGGCAUUUCCUGUUGUCUAUUUCCUCAGCCAAGAAAUUAAUGUUAGGAGGUUAAAAAAAGACAUGGUUAAAAGUAUAAACAUAUACAGAACAAAUUUAUGUAUUUUUAGGUUAUCACAAAAUUUUAUAAAGAAAAAUAAGGGAAAGCUAAAAAAUACACUUACUAUUUGAGGAGAAAAAUAUUGCUGCAUAAGGUAGGCACUGCGAUGGCAACUGAAGAAACGUUUUCUGGUACAAGUUAUACAUCCCAAAUAAUAGUUUAUUUUUCCCAUAGUAAACAAAUCAUCUGCAUUUAUAAACAGGAGGACAGGAUAUUUAUACCUUAUAUAUAAUAAGAGAAGUUUACAUGAAGAAUAGCAUUUGUUUGAUUUAUGUUUACUAAGAAAACUUUUUUUUUUUUUUUUUUUUUUUCGAGACGGAGUUUCGCUCUUGUUACCCAGGCUGGAGUGCAAUGGCGCGAUCUCGGCUCACCGCAACCUCCGCCUCCUGGGUUCAGGCAACUCUCCUGCCUCAGCCUCCCGAGUAGCUGGGAUUACAGGCACGCGCCACCAUGCCCAGCUAAUUUUUUGUAUUUUUAGUAGAGAUGCGGUUUCACCAUGUUGACCAGGAUGGUCUCAAUCCCUUGACCUCGUGAUCCGCCCGCCUCGGCCUCCCAAAGUGCUAGGAUUAAAGGCGUGAGCCACCGCGCCCGGCCACUAAGAAAACUUUUAACAAAUCUGCCUUUAUCUCAAGAUCAGAAAUCUCUCUAAACAUGAUCUGUAGAUUUUACAUAUAUAUAUAUAUAUAUAUAUAUUUACAUAUAUA